UACGUAGGGUGCGAGCGUUAAUCGGAAUUACUGGGCGUAAAGCGUGCGCAGGCGGUUCGUUGUGUCGGUGGUGAAAUCCCCGGGCUUAACCUGGGAAUGGCCAUGGAAACUGGCGAACUGGAGUGCGGCAGAGGGGGGUGGAAUUCCGCGUGUAGCAGUGAAAUGCGUAAAGAUGUGGAGGAAUACCGAUGGCGAAGGCAGCCCCCUGGGCCAACACUGACGCUCAUGCACGAAAGCGUGGGGAGCAAACAGG
rnacentral:rRNA from 1 species